rnacentral:rRNA from 1 species
UGCAAUUCUAACGAACGGGUCUUAGCUUGCUAAGAUUGUCAGCUAAGUGGCGCGGGGAUAAUAUAUAGUUAACCUGCCCUAGAGAGAGGGAUAACGUUUGGAAACGGACGCUAACACCUCAUAUGCCUUUAAGACAAAAGUCUGCAAGGGAAACAUUUAUGGCUCUAGGAUGGGACUGUACGGUAUCAGUUAGUUGGUGAGGUAAUGGCUCACCAAGACAAUGACACCUAACUGGUUUGAGAGGAUGAUCAGUCACACUGGAACUGAGACACGGUCCAGACUCCUACGGGAGGCAGCAGUGGGGAAUAUUGCACAAUGGACGAAAGUCUGAUGCAGCAACGCCGCGUGGAGGAUGACACAUUUCGGUGCGUAAACUCCUUUUAUAUAGGAAGAUAAUGACGGUACUAUAUGAAUAAGCACCGGCUAACUCCGUGCCAGCAGCCGCGGUAAUACGGAGGGUGCAAGCGUUACUCGGAAUCACUGGGCGUAUAGAGAAUGUAGGCGGGUAAUUAAGUCAAAGUGAAAUCCAAUACUCAACCAUUUGAACUGCUUUUGAAACUGAUAACCUAGAAUAUGGGAAGUAAUGGAAUUUCUGGUGUAGGGUAAAAUCCGUAAGAUCAAAGGAAUACUUGAUUGCGAAGGCGAUUCUACUGGAUCAUUAUUUGACGCUGAUAUUCGAAAG